UGGCGGUAUAGCUCAGUUGGUUAGAGCAGCGGAAUCAUAAUCCGAAGGUCGUUGGUUCGAGUCCGACUACCGCUAA
rnacentral:tRNA from 1 species